rnacentral:rRNA from 1 species
CCUACGGGUGGCAGCAGUGAGGAAUAUUGGUCAAUGGACGAGAGUCUGAACCAGCCAAGUAGCGUGAAGGAUGACUGCCCUAUGGGUUGUAAACUUCUUUUAUAUGGGAAUAAAACAGGGUAUGCAUACCCUCUUGUAUGUACCAUAUGAAUAAGGACCGGCUAAUUCCGUGCCAGCAGCCGCGGUAAUACGGAAGGUCCGGGCGUUAUCCGGAUUUAUUGGGUUUAAAGGGAGCGUAGGCCGGUCUUUAAGCGUGCCGUGAAAUUUUGUGGCUCAACCAUGAGAGUGCGGCGCGAACUGGAGACCUUGAGUGCGCGGAAGGCAGGCGGAAUUCGUGGUGUAGCGGUGAAAUGCUUAGAUAUCACGAAGAACCCCGAUUGCGAAGGCAGCCUGCCGCAGCGUUACUGACGCUGAAGCUCGAAAGCGCGGGUAUCGAACAGGAUUAGAUACCCUGGUAGUC